UGUUUAAUUAGGUGCAAUCAAAAUGUUAGUGAUAUUGAUUAUUUUUGCAUUUAUUAAAUUAUAUAAAAGAUAUUAAACCCUCACUAACUGAUUUAAUGGUUUGAUGUCGAGACAAUUUUAAAUGGUAACAUAGUAUUCAUGUUAUAUUAUUGUUGUUUAGUCUAUUUAUGUCAUGCCUAAUUAUUAACAUCAAUUAUUUACUAUGAAAUAACAUUGUUUUAGAUUCCCUGCAGGAUGCCUGUUAAAAAAAAAAACUGAAGAAAUUUUUAAAACUAGAUGAUGAUAACUAAAGAAAUUAAAACACCGUUAUUCAUGGUGUCAUAUCGAGGCUUCAGUUCUCCAUGUUUGUUAGUUAUAUGCAAGAUAUGGCAUGGUAUGGCACACUGCAUGUGUAAAAGUGGAUGAAAGCACUAAAGAAAGCGAUAACGAUAAACUUUAAUGCAGAAUUUUGUCAUGCGAUUAUGGUGGCGAUAUGAGAGAACUACUGUGGCAGAAUAUUACUAUCGUAGAACAGUUUUGCAUCAAAUCAUUGUAUAAUAUUAGUUUUUUGUUGCUUAAAAAUGUUGUGAAAUUCAAA